UUUUGAAUAUUUUCACAUAUGAAAUAUAACCCGACCGUCGGGCAGGGGGAUUUGAAAAUCUGGCAGCCCGAGUUGAAAUCAACCCGUCUCGGACGGUCGGGCAGGCAGGUAUUUCGAACACUGAUGUAUAAAAGCUGUGGUAAAAUUUUGGAAUGGAGGUGCUUAGUUUGGCAAGAACGGCCAGUGCAGGUGAUUCAGAAGCCUGGAGCCAUAGACAAUGCUAGGAAGACAUGUUUUGUAUAUUUCUGUUAUCAGUCAUGUUGUUUGUGAAAUGUUGACUUGAAAAGAAUUUUUAUAGAAAGUAAUUUGAGCACAAUUAUGAUGGAAGUAAUGGGGGAUAGACCACCACUAUUGUAUUAGUCCGAGAAAGUUUAAAGGGACUAUUUAUUGCUGUCAAAAUCUGGUUAUUCUAUGUGUACCAUAUGUCUGAAUUGAGUUCAAUUUGACCAACGAGGUCUGCCACUGAGCUGCAGAUUGAAUUGAGUUCAAUUUGACCAAUGAGGUUUGGCACUGAGCUGCAGAUUGAAUUGAGUUCAAUUUGAUCAAUGAGGUCUCCCACUGGGCUGCAGAUUGUAAUGAGUUCAAUUUGACCAAUGAGGUUUGGCACUGAGCUGCAGAUUGUAUGCAUUUUGAGGCAUAGUGACACAUCCUAAAACAGUUAGCGAAUUGUAGUCUGAUGACGUGGGGGGCGGUCGGGUAGCCUAGUGGUUAAAGCGUUAGCUUGUCACGCUGAAGACCCGGGUUCGAUUCCCGACAUGGGUACAAUGUGUGAAGCCCAUUUCUGGUGUCCCCCGCCGUGAUAUUGCUGGAAUAUUGCUAAAAGCGGCGUAAAACUUAACUCACUCACUCACUCACUCACUGAUGACGUGGCCUGGCAUUACAGUUGGAAGGCUAUUCUCAUAAUCUAAAUUCAUCACUGAGUUGUUAUCCUCAACACUACACUACAGUUUGUGAUGAUGGUCGUUGCACUACAGUUCGUGCCUUCGACAGGACGAUGGUUGAAGGCUCAAGUGGCUUCGUUGGAUGGGCCAUGAUCUCAAAUUCUGGCAUUGGAUCAUGUAACGCCACGAAGUGGAUCUAGAAACGUGUGCACCCCUAACUGAUGUUUUGUAUGAAUUAUGAAUCUCACUGUUUACUUGAGUUGACCAAAGCUCUCUCACAACCCCUGACAGGGAUACUUCACUGAAUGAUACAUUUAGAUCAAGUUAAGCACACAUUGCCUAGGACUACCUGGUCCCAGUGUACUAUUGCUGGAUAGUUCGUUUGGAGACAUUUUGUUUGAAAUUAUUCCUGACCAUUUUUUAAACUCUUUAUGACGCUGGGUGUAUAUGAGAUAGUGUGGCUACUUGGCAAGUUUUGAAAGGUCUGUGGUGGUUGAUGGCCGUGUUCAGAGACCUGAAGAAUCAGGCUAUAUCUCUCUCUUGUGUAAGUCUAUCUGUGAUAUGGUUGUUAUCAAAAAACGACAAGAUUAAACAAGCCAACUGUUCAAUAAAUCAUUAUUGUUCAUUGA